GGGCCUUUCUUUUGCUCCCAUCUGUUUCUGGAACGCUUCCGUCAGCCCCAAGGUUUCCUUUGCUGCUCUUGUACAGCUCAGUGCCUUCCCGUGAAGUCUCUGUUCCCUCUUUCAUGGUUCUCGUUGCGGAAUCUCCACCCUGGGACUCCAAACUGGACAGACGGAAGGCUUUCUGGGGCUGCUCUGGUUAGUGCUUUAAGCUCUGAAAUCUGUGGAGCAGACAGUGGAACACCAUGAAGCCCCUGUUCGUGCGUCGCUGGUAUGCAGCCCAAUAAGCUCGGUGGCUGGCGAUAGAGUGAGGUGCGUGUAUCUGGCUGAGAGCUGAGCUUAAGAAAAGCCCCGGGCCCCAGAGGCCGUUUUCUUCAUCCUCACGUAGUGCAAUCCAGUCUCCACUGCUCCAGCAUGCUGAACACAAGUAUUCUGUGCCUGUUUUGUCUGGUUCUCUCCUAGAGCUCCACUACGAAUUUGUCAGUAGUAACAGAUGGCAGGGCACAGUUCUCCGAGCGCCUUGUGGGCCACCACCCCAGGGUCCCGGGGCUCUUCCUGUUUUUAUGGCAGAUCUGGCUUCGUAUUUAUAGGAAACAAAGGACCGUCCUCUACUGGACCGCUCCGUCUGGAUCACCCCAGAUAGCUCCAUCCCAAUUGUCAGGGGAUGCUGUUAGUUUCCCAGUCCGUACGACACCCGACCUCCCCAGCCCUCUUCCUUCCAUCCCCUGAGCCCCGUUAAGUCGCUGGCUGUGCAGCUGUGGGACCCAACAGUGUGAUGAAGCAACGCCUCUGGUGCGCUGAAUGCUGGGACCGGCACAGAGAGGCUCCGUGGCUGACGUGGCUCUUCCUGCUUGGACUGCUUGCUGAGUUUCCCCGGAGCUGUUGAGCACGCGGGCUUCCCCGCCUGCCCUGAUUGCUCACCAGGCCAUCCACGUCCUUUGUGUCAUCGUGCCUCAGGGCUUCCGGUACCGUGCCAUAGACUCCUUGGAGUCGGAAGGGACCGUUUAUGAUGAUCUGGUCCCACUCCCCCACGAUGAACAGGGACAGCCACAGCUAGACCAGGCUGCCCAGAGCCUGAUCCAGCCUCACCUUGGAAGGGACAGGGCGUCCACCGCAUCUCCGGGCAGCCUGUUCCACUGCACAGAAUCGCAGAAUGACAGAAUGGCCCGGGUUGGAAGGGACCUCGAGGAUGACGAGUCUCCAACCCCCCUGCCACACGCAGGCCGCCGACCUCCCCAUGUCACAGCAGACCAGGCUGCCCAGGGCCCCAUCCACGCUGGCCUCGAACACCUCCGGGGAUGGACGGGGAUCCACAGCC